rnacentral:rRNA from 1 species
GACGAACGCUGGCGGCGUGCUUAACACAUGCAAGUCGAACGGAAAGGCCCUGCUUUUGUGGGGUGCUCGAGUGGCGAACGGGUGAGUAACACGUGAGUAACCUGCCCUUGACUUUGGGAUAACUUCAGGAAACUUGGGCUAAUACCGGAUAGGAUCUCCUGCUGCAUGGUGGGGGUUGGAAAGUUUCGGCGGUUGGGGAUGGACUCGCGGCUUAUCAGCUUGUUGGUGGGGUAGUGGCUUACCAAGGCUUUGACGGGUAGCCGGCCUGAGAGGGUGACCGGCCACAUUGGGACUGAGAUACGGCCCAGACUCCUACGGGAGGCAGCAGUGGGGAAUAUUGCACAAUGGGCGGAAGCCUGAUGCAGCAACGCCGCGUGCGGGAUGACGGCCUUCGGGUUGUAAACCGCUUUCGCCUGUGACGAAGCGUGAGUGACGGUAAUGGGUAAAGAAGCACCGGCUAACUACGUG